CCUACUGGUGACAUCAUUGAGGCAUCUUGGUCAAUGGACGAGAGUCUGAACCAGCCAAGUAGCGUGAAGUCUUCCUUCCCUCUUUUUUUUCCCCUUCUUUUCUCUUUUCCUCCCACUUUCCCCUUUUGGGAUUUUGUAUGUACCAUAUGAAUAAGGAUCGUCUAACUCCGUGCCAGCCGCCUCGGUAAUACUGCGGCUCCUCGCGUUAUCCGGAUUUAUUGGGUUUAAAGGGAGCGUAGGUGGAUUGUUAAGUCAGUUGUGAAAGUUUGCGGCUCAACCGUAACAUUGAAGGGGAAACUGGCAGUCUUGAGUACAGUAGAGGUGGGCGGAAUUCGUGGUGUAGCGGUGAAAGGCUUAGAGAUACAGAAGAACUCAGAUUGAGAAGGCAGUUCAAGGGACGGCAAAUGACACUGAGGCUCGAAAGUGGGGGGAUCAAACAGGAGGAGAGAAAAAGGGAGUC
rnacentral:rRNA from 1 species